GGGCAUAUGAUGUAGUGGUAUCAUAUUCGCUUUGCAUUGCUCUCCUUGCUUGCGAAAGGUCCUGGGUUCAAUCCCCAGUGUGUCCA
rnacentral:tRNA from 1 species